GCAGUCGAGCGAACCGAUUAAGAGCUUGCUCUUAAGAAGUUAGCGGCGGACGGGUGAGUAACACGUGGGUAACCUGCCUAUAAGACUGGGAUAACUCCGGGAAACCGGGGCUAAUACCGGAUAACAUUUUGCACCGCAUGGUGCGAAAUUGAAAGGCGGCUUCGGCUGUCACUUAUAGAUGGACCUGCGGCGCAUUAGCUAGUUGGUGAGGUAACGGCUCACCAAGGCGACGAUGCGUAGCCGACCUGAGAGGGUGAUCGGCCACACUGGGACUGAGACACGGCCCAGACUCCUACGGGAGGCAGCAGUAGGGAAUCUUCCGCAAUGGACGAAAGUCUGACGGAGCAACGCCGCGUGAGCGAUGAAGGCCUUCGGGUCGUAAAGCUCUGUUGUUAGGGAAGAACAAGUAUGAGAGUAACUGCUCGUACCUUGACGGUACCUAACCAGAAAGCCACGGCUAACUACGUGCCAGCAGCCGCGGUAAUACGUAGGUGGCAAGCGUUAUCCGGAAUUAUUGGGCGUAAA
rnacentral:rRNA from 1 species